GUGAUCUCCUUGGCUCUUGUAGCCUAUGUUUCCCCCGGAGUUCAUCCCCUCCCUGUAUCUUGGUCCAUCUGCCCGGAGCUUGAUGUACCAUUCCCUAGGGGUGACCAAACCCACCCGUUCUUCACCUCCCCGUGGACAAGGUUUCCCACAAGUAUUCUUGGCCGUGUAUUACUUGUUCCAUGCUCGGCAAAGAGCUCCCAAAACAAAGAGUGAAGAUUCAAGAUGAAGUGGUUGCUAAAGAGGAGUCUACUCAAGUGUCUUAUCAUCAAGAGGAUGGAGCUAUCUAAUUGAUGGUUGGGUAGAGGGAUCUAGAACCUCUUCACUGCAAAAAGGCAAGCCCCGGUGCAUGCAACCCCUUCCUUGUGUUUUUAAAUACUUUUCGC
rnacentral:lncRNA from 1 species